UCGUCGACAUCAAAGGGCACC
rnacentral:miRNA from 1 species